CCACUUCAAUUCCCUUAACACAUUAGUUUUAUCCGACCAGACCGAAAAAUAUAGAUAUCGUAAACGAAGUUGGGUUUCAAAUCAGAUGACCAGAAUCCGAUUGAAAAAUCCUAACUUUUUAAAUUGUUUUUUUGUUAGUUUGAACUCAACAAACUAUCACUAAAGCUGUUAGUAUCAUCUUCUAGUUGACAAUUUGAUCCUAAAGCUAUGUUCCAAUCCUAGUUAAUUCACAUUUCUAGCUAAAUUUAUUUCUAAAUGAAAUAAACGAAGCAGAUAGUGUGCUACUUAUCUCUCAAAAAAACAGAAAAAAAAGAAGCUAUGUUACUAGUGAGAGUA
rnacentral:lncRNA from 1 species